GAUGAAGAACGCAGCGAAAUGCGAUAAGUAAUGUGAAUUGCAGAAUUCAGUGAAUCAUCGAAUCUUUGAACGCACAUUGCGCCCGCUAGUAUUCUGGCGGGCAUGCCUGUCCGAGCGUCAUUUCAACCCUCAAGCCCCCGGACUUGGUGUUGGGGAUCGGCGAGCCUCCGCGCCCGCCGUCCCCUAAAUCUAGUGGCGGUCUCGCUGUAGCUUCCUCUGCGUAGUAGCACACCUCGCACUGGGAAACAGCGCGGCCACGCCGUUAAACCCCCAACUUCUGAACGUUUGACCUCGGAUCAGGUAGGAAUACCCGCUGAACUUAAGCAAUCAAUAAGCGGAGGA
rnacentral:misc_RNA from 1 species